UACGUAGGGGGCGAGCGUUGUCCGGAUUUAUUGGGCGUAAAGAGCGUGUAGGCUGUUCGGUAAGUCUGUCGUGAAAUCCCGAGGCUCAACCUCGGGUCUGCAGUCGAUACGGGCAAACUAGAGUAUUGCAGGGGAGACUGGAAUUCCUGGUGUAGCGGUGAAAUGCGCAGAUAUCAGGAGGAACACCGGUGGCGAAGGCGGCGACCUGGGUUGACAUUGACGCUGAGGCGCGAAAGCGUGGGGAGCAAACAGG
rnacentral:rRNA from 1 species